rnacentral:rRNA from 1 species
AGAGUUUGAUCCUGGCUCAGGACGAACGCUGGCGGCGUGCUUAACACAUGCAAGUCGAACGAGGAUAUAUUUGGAAGGGUUUCGGCCUGGAAGGAUAUAUUCGAGUGGCGGACGGGUGAGUAACGCGUGAGCAAUCUGUCCCAGACAGGGGGAUAACACUUGGAAACAGGUGCUAAUACCGCAUAAGACCACAGCAUCGCAUGGUGCAGGGGUAAAAGGUGCAAACCGGUUUGGGGUGAGCUCGCGUCCGAUUAGAUAGUUGGUGAGGUAACGGCCCACCAAGUCGACGAUCGGUAGCCGACCUGAGAGGGUGAUCGGCCACAUUGGAACUGAGAGACGGUCCAAACUCCUACGGGAGGCAGCAGUGGGGAAUAUUGGGCAAUGGGCGAAAGCCUGACCCAGCAACGCCGCGUGAGUGAAGAAGGCUUUCGGGUUGUAAAGCUCUGUUAUAGGGGACGAAGGAAGUGACGGUACCCUAUAAGGAAGCCCCGGCUAACUACGUGCC